rnacentral:tRNA from 2 species
CGGAGAGUAGCUCAGGCGGCUAGAGCGCGCGCUUUGGGAGCGCGAGGUCGCAGGUUCAAGUCCUGUCUCUCCGA